rnacentral:rRNA from 1 species
GACGAACGCUGGCGGCGUGCCUAACACAUGCAAGUCGAACGGAAAGGCCCUGCUUUUGUGGGGUGCCCGAGUGGCGAACGGGUGUGUAACACGUGAGUAUCCUGCCCUUGACUUUGGGAUAACUUCAGGAAACUGGGGCUAAUACCGGAUAGGAGCUCCUGCUGCAUGGUGGGGGUCGGAAAGUUUCGGCGGUUGGGGAUGGACUCGCGGCUUAUCAGCUUGUUGGUGGGGUAGUGGCUUACCAAGGCUUUGACGGGUAGCCGGCCUGGGAGGGUGGCCGGCCACAUUGGGACUGAGGUACGGACCAGACUCCUACGGGAGGCAGCAGUGGGGAGUAUUGCACAAUGGGCGGAAGCCUGAUGCGGCGACGCCGCGUGCGGGAUGACGGCCUUCGGGUUGUGAACCGCUUUCGCCUGAGACGAAGCGUGAGUGACGGUAAUGGGUAAAGAAGCACCGGCUAACUACGUG